AUUGAACGCUGGCGGCAGGCCUAACACAUGCAAGUCGAGCGGAGCGGCGGACGGGUGAGUAAUGCCUAGGAAUCUGCCUGGUAGUGGGGGAUAACGUCCGGAAACGGGCGCUAAUACCGCAUACUAUCAGAUGAGCCUAGGUCGGAUUAGCUAGUUGGUGGGGUAAAGGCCUACCAAGGCGACGAUCCGUAACUGGUCUGAGAGGAUGAUCAGUCACACUUGAACUGAGACACGGUCCAGACUCCUACGGGAGGCAGCAGUGGGGAAGAUUGGCCAAGGUGCGAAAUCCUGACCCAGCCAUGCCGCUCUUGUGAAGAAGGUUUUCGGAUGGUAAAGCACCUUAAGUUGGGAUGCGUUACCAACAGAAUACGCACCGUCGAACCUCGCGCCAGCAGCCGCGGUAAUUC
rnacentral:rRNA from 1 species